rnacentral:rRNA from 1 species
UACAGAGGUCUCGAGCGUUAGGCGGAAUCACUGGGCUUAAAGCGUGUGUAGGUGGAUGCCUAAGUACCUUGUGAAAUCCCACAGCUUAACUGUGGAACUGCUUGGUAUACUGGGUGUCUUGAGUCACUCAGGGGCGAGCGGAACAAAUGGUGGAGCGGUGAAAUGCGUAGAGAUCGGAAAGAACACCAACGGCGAAAGCACUCUGCUGGGCCGACACUGACACUGAGAGACGAAAGCUAGGGGAGCGAAUGGG